AGGACGGUCCGGGAGAGGGAGCGAAUGGUUCUGGGUCUACGAAUGAGCUGGCGAUGGCGUGCAUUGGAGAGCUGGUGCUGCCGGAGGAGACCUCCCCGCUGGGCACUGGAACUGGUUCUUUUGAUUGUCAAAGAGCUAGCUGGUAAGACUAUGUUGCAGGCGUCGGAUAAAUUGUGCUCGAGGUGGGCAAACCCUUGGGAGCACUCCAUUAUUAUUAAAAUAUACGAGGCUUCUUCGAUGGGGUUUUUCUUUUUGGAAAACAG
rnacentral:lncRNA from 1 species